AUAUGGGUGGGAGGUCAAAAGAAAGUCUAAAUAUGGAUGGGAGGUCAAAAGAAAGUCUAAAUAUGGGUGGGAGGUCAAAACAAAGUUUAAAUAUGGAUGGGAGGUCAAAAGAAAGUCUAAAUAUGGGUGGGAGGUCAAAAGAAAGUCUAAAUAUGGGUGGGAGGUCAAAAGAAAGUCUAAAUAUGGAUGGGAAGUCAAAAGAAAGUCUAAAUAUGGGUGGGAGGUCAAAAGAAAGUCUAAAUAUGGGUGGGAGGGUCAAAAGAAAG